rnacentral:rRNA from 1 species
UACAGAGGGUGCGAGCGUUAAUCGGAAUUACUGGGCGUAAAGCGCACGUAGGUGGUUGUGUAAGUCGAGUGUGAAAGCCCCGGGCUCAACCUGGGAACUGCAUUCGAGACUGCAUUACUCGAGUAUGGGAGAGGGCAGUGGAAUUUCCGGUGUAGCGGUGAAAUGCGUAGAUAUCGGAAGGAACAUCAGUGGCGAAAGCGACUGCCUGGCCCAAUACUGACACUCAAGUGCGAAAGCGUGGGGAGCAAACAGG